rnacentral:rRNA from 1 species
AGAGUUUGAUCCUGGCUCAGAUUGAACGCUGGCGGCAUGCCUUACACAUGCAAGUCGAACGGUAACGCGGGGCAACCUGGCGACGAGUGGCGAACGGGUGAGUAACGCAUCGGAACGUGCCCAGUAGUGGGGGAUAGCCCGGCGAAAGCCGGAUUAAUACCGCAUACGACCUACGGGUGAAAGCGGGGGACCGUAAGGCCUCGCGCUAUUGGAGCGGCCGAUGUCAGAUUAGGUAGUUGGUGGGGUAAAAGCCUACCAAGCCGACGAUCUGUAGCUGGUCUGAGAGGACGACCAGCCACACUGGGACUGAGACACGGCCCAGACUCCUACGGGAGGCAGCAGUGGGGAAUUUUGGACAAUGGGCGCAAGCCUGAUCCAGCCAUGCCGCGUGCGGGAUGAAGGCCUUCGGGUUGUAAACCGCUUUUGUCAGGGAAGAAACGCUCCGGGCCAAUACCCUGGGGUAAUGACGGUACCUGAAGAAUAAGCACCGGCUAACUACGUGCCAGCAGCCGCGGUAAUACGUAAGGUGCAAGCGU